UUCCGGUUGAUCCUGCCGGACCCGACUGCUAUCAGAGUGAGAUUAAGCCAUGCGAGUUAACGUAGCAAUACGUGGCGCACGGCUCAGUAACACGUAGUCAACAUGCCCAGAGGACGUGGAUAACCUCGGGAAACUGAGUCUAAACCGCGAUAAGUGAGGAUUUCUGGAAUGGUUCCUGACUAAAAUCUAUAUGGCCUCUGGAUUGGACUGCGGCCGAUCAGGCUGUUGGUGAGGUAAUGGCCCACCAAACCUGUAACCGGUACGGGCUCUGAGAGGAGGAGCCCGGAGAUGGGCACUGAGACAAGGGCCCAGGCCCUAUAGGGCGCAGCAGGCGCGAAACCUCUGCAAUAGGCGCAAGCCUGACAGGGUUACUCUGAGUGACUUUCGCUAAGAAAGUCUUUUGGCACCUCUAAAAAGGGUGCAGAAUAAGGGGUGGGCAAGUCUGGUGUCAGCCGCCGCGGUAAUACCAGCACCCCGAGUGGUCGGGACGAUUAUUGGGCCUAAAGCAUCCGUAGCCGGUUCUGCAAGUCCCCCGUUAAAUCCAGCUGCUCAACAGAUGGGCCGCGGAGGAUACUACAGAGCUAGGGGGCAGGAGAGGCAAGCGGUACUCAGUGGGUAGGGGUAAAAUCCGUUGAUCCAUUGAAGACCACCAGUGGCGAAGGCGGCUUGCCAGAAUGCGCUCGACGGUGAGGGAUGAAAGCUGGGGGAGCAAACCGGAUUAGAUACCCGGGUAGUCCCAG
rnacentral:rRNA from 1 species